CAUCCAUGGCUGGGCGAGAGAGGGGUCAUACACUGUGUUCUCAGAAGAAUGUUGUGAAAGUGUCAUUGAACCCCCUUUUCUACAACCAAAUCAAACCAGUUCCUGUUGUUGGUGCCAAGAUCAACUGUGGCCCGAGCCUCCUCAACCACCCACUGGCCAUUUGCAAGAAACAUCUGAUGGAGACUUCUCCUUUGGAUGCAGAGCCAAAGAUAGAGGAAAGAACUUGAAGACAAUGCCUGAAGAAUCAACACCUCCCAGCAUGGCCAGGAGGCAGAGCUGGACCAGGGAGGAUUGCUUCCUGCAUUAGCUUCAGAACUUGGCAAGUAUUCUGUAGGGAAAAUCAUGCUCAUAUUUGGAGUAUUUCAGGAUACAACUUUAUUACUUCAGCAACAUGUGUCUGCUAAAAGCUGCUUUCUGCUGCUUUCUGUGUUCUCAGCAAAGGUGACCGAGAGUUGGGGGGAAAAGACAAAUGGAAAUAAGCAGCUAAUCAUGAACAGAUUCUCCACUCUCUGGAAGAAAUCACAGAAAACAAGAAAGAAAAAUAAAACCACCACAAAUUCCUAAUUUAAUCUUGACAUGGAAGUACUUUAAAACACAAACAAGAUUCAAGAGUAAACAAAGGCUCCAGCAAGGUGGCUCACACCUCUAAUCCCAGCCGUUUGGGAGACUGAGGUGGACGGAUCACUUAAAGACAAAAAU